CGAGUCAGUUUACAGGAUAUGUGUACAUGAUUACUGUUAACAUUAAUGAACACAUUAUUAUUCCUACUAAUGCAACUACACUUGAAGACAAGGUUUUUUUUAUUUAUUUUAGUGGCUCCCAGUUUUCAAGUAAAAAGUCAUCGAUGGAAUAGAAGGAGUUGUCCAGAAGAACUGAUUUGAAAUUAGAUGCAUAGAGAGUAGAACUACUCGCUGUGUUAGAUGUAACAUUUGCUUCGCUACAUGUCAGUCAUUUCUGUGUGAUUGGGCAAAUGAUAAAAAAGUUUUAUUGCAGCAAAUUGAACAACGGGCAAUAUAUGUCACUUUCCCUUCUAGUGUUGUGGGUACGUACAUCACUUUUCUUCUUCUUGUUCUGCAGCACUCCAUAACUCAAACUUUACAAUAAACAAAUUUCAGACUGAGUAAACUUUUAAAAUAGCACACAACUCUCACUCAGUUAGCAGCUACAAUGGCUGAAGUUACGUAUUGGGCCCUUCCCCCUGCCGAAUAUAACACUUCGUUAAGUAAUUAACGUGAAAUUGGUUGUUGUAUAUACCUUGACGUUUUCUUGAGUCAUAUGUACGGCGUUUAUUAAAAAAAUAUAUACUUAUUUAUUAUGAUUCAAUAGUAGUUAUUGACGAUAUUCUCUAAUACUGCAAUCUGUAAUAAAACGUGAGCACACAUUUGAUAAUAAACGUUUAAAACUGUUGGUCAAAAAUUUUACUCCGAGUAAUACUGUCAAAUCUAAGAUACAUCUCGGUCAAAACGUGCAAACUUGCGUCAAAUACUUUUCCUUCAAAAAUGUUUUAUCCCAUUACAAGCAGGUCGUACUUCUGAAAUUUGCCGGUGUCUUGAAAUAACGCUAACAACUUUGUAAUGAUGUCACAUCAAAUAGUGCGUGACGAAAGUCAAUCGCUAACAAAAGUUGAAACGCGUGACGUAAUAGCCCCCCUCUACUGAGGCGGCAGUGAACGAAAAACACAGACCUACGACUGACAGUUGGCACUGUAAACAAACCAAACCAAAACACAGUGAUAAGUGGAAGUCGAGUGUUAGCCGAAAUGUAUGCUUCAAACUCCGGAAAUAUGAAUCCUGUGCAUGCGGAUCAUCUAAGUACAACUCCAGCACGGCAUAUAUGCACUAAUAAAAUUACAAAUCGACAUCCAGUGCCCUACUGAAGCAGAGAACAGUAAAGAUAUGGAGGCACUGGCCGAAUUCUGAAGUCAAGACCUGUAGAAUACAAAUGCAGCUUCCUGCUCUGUGCUGGUCCCACAGCUGCUCAGCUCCAGGUACUGAGUAUGUGUAGACACUGAUAACGGUGUGACUAGUCGUCAUCCUCCUGAUCUGUGAAAAGUGCGCCAAGGCUGCCGUCCACCCUCAGGUGUGGCAUCUGGCCAGUAAUUCUGUCCAGGACAUCUUGGUCUCCGUCACAGUAUCCAAUUUCCAGCUCUCUGUACAACAACACAAGUGGAUGACAGGUAUCACAACUUCCAUGAUGACAUAAAUAAAAUAAUGGAAUAGUUACAGCACAUUUGGAAGAAUCAUCCGAAAACUUGUAAAGGGGUUUGCAGUCACUUACCUAACAAUGAACACACUUUUGCCUCACACAGGUGGAUGGUAGGCAAAAUCAAUUGAGAAGUGCUGCUGGCGCUAAUGAAUGAAGAGACAGUAGGCCAAGUCUGGGAAGAGUUCAAAUUUUAUGCCAGUAGAGUGCAGGUGGAGACGUGAGCUAUGGGUUGUGUUGUGUCGGCUGAGUGAAUCCCCACCACUGUUACAUUACUGAUCUGUGACAUGUCAUAUUCCCCACAAGUGUUUUUAUUAAGGUCUUCUCAGUGUGCAACAUAUUUCCGUUCACGUUAACCGUGCCAGUCACAGUUUGGGUUGCAGUGAGGAUUGUGUGUGGUAACUUGUUACAGCAUGUGACGCAAUUCCAAGAAUUCUGAUCUGUGACGAGGUUAAGCGUAACUAACAGUGUGAGACAAAAGUAUUGUCUGCCUCAUAUUGUGUCUAAACAGAAUUUGUAAGUCAAACAAUGUGAAAUAUUUUGGUACUGGUUAUUGCAAAACCCUUAAUCACUGUGUGAACAUCGCCGAGUAGCCACACCCUGAUUAGAAACGGCUCCUGAAGCAGCUAAAUCUGAUUAGCAUUUACCUGUCAUGUCAAAAUUAAAGCUAGGCUAUUGUUUUGAUUAAUAACAAUCAACACUAUCUUAAUUGGGAAUGUUUCAUCCAAGCUUGUCAUGAAAAAAUGAUCUCAACCUUUGGUGAAGAAUAGACUGCAGAAGACAAUACUUCAUUUAGGUGCCUUAUUUCCUCUUGGCUUGUUAAAUGGAAAGUAUACACAGCUGGCACCUUACUACAUAAAGGAGGCUAUAGCUGACAAUCAAAGGCAUGACUGACAUGUAACUGUUCGUUAGUGAGGUUGCAGUACUGCUUUUAAUAUUGUUAGAACACAAGGAAGCGACGAGACUAAAUUUCCAUUGUAGCGAAAUGAAAUACAUUUGUAAUGUUGCUACAUAACUGUAAAUCAGGCAUUCGCAGUAAAUAUUAACUUAGUGUGGAAAUAAUGUGAUAAAUUCCCAGUGUUGCACAUAUGUAACAAGGGGCAUUACAGGUUUAAUUCAAUUUUGUAAUAAUAAUAAUCGUUAUGCCAGAGCCACAGAAAUUAAGGAAAUAGUUACGGGAUCAAACUUGAAACCUGCCAUUUUGAAAAGAAAUUGGCAAACCUCUUGAAGUAUUCUGUGAACACCCUGGCAUUCACGAACCACAGGUUGAGACAAAUAGGAAACAUGUGUUAAAUAGCAUGUACAUGGGGAAAUACACUCAUAUAUAAAAAAUAUGAAGUGUAGGGAUGUUUCAUAUGAUGAGAAUAAUGAUGUGAAGAGAAGUUAUGGAGAAUAGAGGCAUGUUUGUGUAUUUCUUAAGGUAAUUAAGGAGGAUUAAUAGAUGUGGAAGGACCAUAGUUGAACAGUGAUUGGUACCUAGUUUUAGAGAGGUAUAUGUAGUGGAGUUUAAUGAGAGUGAAGAGGUAUAAGAUAUAUUUUAAGAGCUAAUGGUUGAACACUAUCAUUUUUUUUUUUUCACGCACAUUUUCCUGUUUGUAUCUGUAUGUACAUAUUUAUAUUGUAAUGAUGGUAAUACACUCCAUGGAAAUUGAAAUAAGAACACCGUGAAUUCAUUGUCCCAGGAAGGGGAAACUUUAUUGACACAUUCCUGGGGUCAGAUACAUCACAUGAUCACACUGACAGAACCACAGGCACACAGAGACAGGCAACAGAGCAUGCACAAUGUCGGCACUAGUACAGUGUAUAUCCACCUUUCGCAGCAAUGCAGGCUGCUAUUCUCCCAUGGAGACGAUCGUAGAGAUGCUGGAUGUAGUCCUGUGGAACGGCUUGCCAUGCCAUUUCCACCUGGCGCCUCAGUUGGACCAGCGUUCGUGCUGGACGUGCAGACCGCUUGAGACGAGGCUUCAUCCAGUCCCAAACAUGCUCAAUGGGGAACAGAUCCGGAGAUCUUGCUGGCCAGGGUACUUAACUUACACCUUCUAGAGCACGUUGGGUGGCACGGGAUACAUGAGGACGUGCAUUGUCCAGUUGGAACAGCAAGUUCCCUUGCCGUUCUAGGAAUGGUAGAACGAUGGGUUCGAUGACGGUUUGGAUGUACCGUGCACUAUUCAGUGUCCCCUCGACGAUCACUAGAGGUGUACGGCCAGUGUAGGAGAUCGCUCCCGACACCAUGAUGCCGGGUGUUGGCCCAGUGUGCCUCGGUCGUAUGCAGUCCUGAUUGUGGCGCUCACCUGCACGGCACCAAACACGCAUACGACCAUCAUUGGCACCAAGGCAGAAGCGACUCUCAUUGCUGAAGACGACACGUCUCCAUUCGUCCCUCCAUUCACACCUGUCGCGACACCACUGGAGGCGGGCUGCACGAUGUUGGGGCGUGAGCGGAAGACAGCCUAACGGUGUGCGGGACCAUAGCCCAGCUUCAUGGAGACAGUUGCGAAUGGUCCUCGCCGAUACCCCAGGAGCAACAGUGUCCCUAAUUUUCUGGGAAGUGGCUGUGCAGUCCCCUAGGGCACUGCGUAGGAUCCUACAGUCUUGGCGUGCAUCCGUGCGUCGCUGCGGUCCGGUCCCAGGUCGACGGGCACGUGCACCUUCUGCCGACCACUGGCGACAACAUCGAUGUACUGUGGAGACCUCACGCCCCACGUGUUGAGCAAUUCGGCGGUACGUCCACCCGGCCUCGCGCAUGCCCACUAUACGCACUCACUCCAAGUCCGUCAACUGCACAUACGGUUCACGUCCAUGCUGUCGCGGCACGCUACCAGUGUUAAAGACUUGUGAUGGAGCUCCGUAUGCCACGGCAAACUGGCUGACACUGACGGCGGCGGUGCACAAAUGCUGCGCAGCUAGCGCCAUUCGACGGCCAACACCGUGGUUCCUGGUGUGUCUGCUGUGCCGUGCGUGUGGUCAUUGCUUGUACGGCCCUCUCGCAGUGUCCGGAGCAAGUAUGGUGGGUCUGACACACCGGUGUCAAUGUGUUCUUUUUCCCAUUUCCAGGAGUGUAAAUAGGAUGACAAUUCUGAGAUAUAACUAGCUAUUGAGGUUAGUGCAAGCAUUUUUUUAACUCAAUACAAAAAUGUUAAUCACCAUGUAAGAAAAAGCACAAGCGAUUGUCAAAUUUUGUUUUAUUCAAUGUGUAAUUUUGAUUUAUAGAGGCUUGUAAUACUUUUUAAUCAACUCCUUGUGGACUUUUCUUGAUUAAUUAUAAAUUAAAACAGGCAUUUGAAAAAAAAGAAAAGUAAACAAAAAUAGCAUAGACGGGUCUUAAAACCGGGUUGUCUGGACCGGAGACUCACUCACUCGCUUGCUUGCUUACCACACAGCUCACUUGACACACUAAUGAAACUUUAUAUACAGGAACUGUAACAGGCAAUAUUUCAAAAACGACACCACAUUGGCACCUACAGUUUCAAGGUGUGAUAGGUGCCUACACACUCUAUUAGCAGGCGAAGUGGGAGCUCAUAACGCGCUGCAUCUCCCAGAAGGUCCCCUCGUGAGUGAAUCCCCACCACUAUGGAUCAACCCUCGGCAUAACAGUACCAAUUCGUGACAUCUGAUAUUACAAAUGUUUUUUCAGUGCCGUAGAUUCAUGUUCACAUCAACCAGGCCAGGCACUCUGACUUGUGGUGAGAUUAACCGUAAGCAGAAGCACGAGACAACAGUGCUGUGCCUCGUAUUGUGUCUAAAAAGAAUUUGUAUGUCAAACAAUGCGAAAUAUUUUAUCAUUGGUUAUUGCAAACCCUUUAUCAUAUCAUUGUGUGAACAUUGUUGUAGCAGCCACAUUCUGAUUAGAAAUGACUGCUAAAGCAGCUAAAUCCAAUUAGCAUUUAUCUAUUAGGCCAUGGUCACAUCAAAAUUUGAGCUAGGCUCUUAUUAACCAAAAUAACAAUUGACAUCAUAUUAAUUGAGAAUGUUUCAAACUGCACGUUACUUCUCUACACAAUCACCAUCCCGAUUUAUGUAUUUAUCACACCUCUUUAACAAGUUGACAAAUUCCAUCAGUAUUAAAUUCUGCUAUCUAAGAUUGCAACUAGGUGAAGUUCUUCAUAGUAGCUGAGUCUCUUUCUCAUCUGUACAAAAAGAUGGAAACUGGUACAAGCCCAGUCUAGGCUGUAGGGCACGCAUUCAAAAAAUGUCCCAUUCAAACUGACACGACAAAUCUCGUGUUUGGUAGACCGAAUGGUCUUGAGGACUGUCAUUCAUAAAUGGAAUCCCAGUAGUCGAGACACCACAUUGCUCAUUUUGAAUGAUAAUGUAGAGUAAUCUUAAAACCUUACAGUACACUCAAGAAUUAACUGUCCACGUAGCAUACAACCAACAAACAGAAGUACAUUAAGGUCCAAAAAGAUGGUAUCCUAAACCUCUCUAGUCAACAGUUCGGAGUGAUUUUUUAUGACCUGUUAGGGUAGGCAGUAUGACCACACACUAGUGUCUGCUAUUUAGUUUGCACAUUAACAUCAGAAAGAUCUUGUGACUGGUCACAAUUCCACUCAGAAGGGCUUGUCCUUGAGAAACAUUCAAUGUUGACUUUUGUCAUUCUCAGAAAGAAUCUUUGGAACCAAUGAGCAUACUACUUGGAUCUCCUGCAGAAAUGUAAAAUGUCGUCCAGCCUGAAGUUUUUUUUUUUUUUUU